rnacentral:rRNA from 1 species
GCUGGCGGCAUGCUUUACACAUGCAAGUCGGACGGCAGCGGGGUAGUGCUUGCACUACUGCCGGCGAGUGGCGAACGGGUGAGUAAUAUAUUGGAACGUACCGAGUAAUGGGGGAUAACCAAUCGAAAGAUUGGCUAAUACCGCAUACGCUCUGAGGAGGAAAGCAGGGGACCUUCGGGCCUUGCGUUAUUCGAGCGGCCAAUAUCUGAUUAGCUAGUUGGUGGGGUAAAGGCCUACCAAGGCGACGAUCAGUAGCGGGUCUGAGAGGAUGAUCCGCCACACUGGGACUGAGACACGGCCCAGACUCCUACGGGAGGCAGCAGUGGGGAAUUUUGGACAAUGGGCGCAAGCCUGAUCCAGCCAUGCCGCGUGUCUGAAGAAGGCCUUCGGGUUGUAAAGGACUUUUGUUAGGGAAGAAAAAGGAGCGGUUAAUACCCGUUUCUGCUGACGGUACCUAAAGAAUAAGCACCGGCUAACUACGUGCCAGCAGCCGCGGUAAUACGUAGGGUGCGAGCGUUAAUCGGAAUUACUGGGCGUAAAGCGAGCGCAG